GACGAACCGAGCGAACGUUGUUCGGAAUAACUGGGCUUAAAGGGCGCGUAGGCGGAUUGCUAAGUCAGGGGUGAAAUCCUGGAGCUCAACUCCAGAACUGCCUUUGAUACUGGCGGUCUCGAGUCCGGGAGAGGUGAGUGGAACUGCGAGUGUAGAGGUGAAAUUCGUAGAUAUUCGCAAGAACACCAGUGGCGAAGGCGGCUCACUGGCCCGGUACUGACGCUGAGGUGCGAAAGCGUGGGGAGCAAACAGG
rnacentral:rRNA from 1 species